rnacentral:tRNA from 1 species
GCCUCCAUAGCUCAACGGUAGAGCGAAAUACUGUUAAUAUUUAGACAGAUGUUCGAUUCAUCUUGGAGGCU